UGGUGGUAUUGCCGCAUACAUAGACACCCCGUGGAGCUACGUUAGACACCGCCUGGAGCAUCUGUGGGUUGAGGUGUUCUGGCAAAGAGCUAUCCCAAAGUCUAUUUGAACACUCCUACUACAUAUAGGUACUCAACACCCACAUGUUUGGAUUCUGACGACUGAAGAGAAUGGUGUUCCUUCCCUCAUACUGACCAGCUCGGGAAAGUACUGAGUGCUGACACACAUCAGUG